CCUCUGCACCCGAGAUGUGGAGGUCCAAGUAGAAGCCAGCAGCGCGUUACUUGUUCAUCUCUGAUGCAACCAGGCCCUGCAUGAGUAGCUCCAGGCUCAGGAUGACAUCAUCCUGCAGCUUAUGAGAGUCACAGUGUGACGGAGGAUGGCGGAGGAAGAGCUGUCUAGUCCAUCAUCACCUGGUUGGGUAGUGAUCCUGUGACGUGGCAGGCGCCUUGCUGGCACCACUCUGUCCCAGCACCAGCUCUAUAAACAAGUGCAAGGAAAACGGGCAGGUCUGUCUCCCUGCGGAGAUCCAGUGACGCCAAGGGACAGUGGGCUGCUCGGCCUGCGCUCUCCCCAGGGUGCGUCUGCCCGGCUCACAAGGGCGCUGCCACUUUAAGAGACUGGUUAUCAUCAUCUCCUUUUGCUAAGGUUGAUCAGUUUUAUUCAUCAUUUCAAGGAACUGACAUUUGACUUCUUGGUUUUCCUGCUGGUGAGAUAAGAGAGACUCUCCUCUGCCCGAGAUUCUUAGGGAAGAGUGUAUCUUCCUGCUGGUGAGAUAAGAGACUCUCCUCUGCCCUCCUGGGAGGGCCUCCAUUAUCACAGGCAGUCCUGAUUCUCUUUAAUUGGCUUUUAUGUUUGCUAUGAAGGGCUGUAUUUUGCAGUGGGAGUCUACAUUGGUACAUCCUGGAGUUAGCGUGGGUUGGGGAAGUGAACUUCAUCCCAGGGGCAGCAGCUCAGGUUGGGCUGGAGAAUAACUGGGGAUCAGGGUGACGCCGGGGCAAGUCCUCUUGCCUAGGACUCGUUUUCCUCCAUUGUAAAUGAGGACUCGGAGAAUUCCUAUCCGUUUCAAGGGGUUGUUGUGGGACUCGACUGACGUGUGGUGUGAGUGGGCUUCGUGAGUGACAGGCCAGGAGCACACAUGGGUCACUACACCCUCGGGCUGAGUUCAUGUGGGACCAGUCUGUGGGGACAAGCCCUCAGGCUGAAGUAAGCGGGGCCGGCCACAGGCUCCAAGGGACCAUCAGGGGCUCAGGAAACGCUUAGUGGGAAAGAGCUCCGCUUCUGGCUGGGAGGUCGAAGGGCCCAGGGAGGGGACGUGUCCUGGGUAGGGGCAGGCAAAGGCCAUGUUCGAUCAGGUAUAAAGAGUAAGUAUUAGGGGCAGCCUGUCAGCUCUGAUUGAGAGUAGGGCUCAGAGCCAGUCUGGCCCCUGGCCUGAGGGGCUGACCCUUUGCUCUGCUCCCUGUGGCACAUCUCCUGAGCAGGAACGAGGCCAGGCUGUGGGCAGCGAGUCUUCCAGUGAGAGCUCGAGUCAGAGCUGUCCUGGACCUUCAGCAGCCUCCAAGUUCAGAGUCAGGUCUGCUGGACCCCAGUCCCUGUGCUGUUGUGUUUCCUGUGGUCACUUGUGGAACCCCUGGGUCCCCAAGGCAUUGCCAUCCAUGGUCCAGUCGCUGAUCCUCCAUUGAGGAGUAAUUAUUGAGAAUGAGAGAUGGACCCAGCUCUGAGUCUUUCAAUGCACCCUAGCAAUUCCAGACAAUCCCAGGCCACCCCUUCCUCCUUGCCCUUCUCUCUCAUGAUCGGGUCAGUGGAGGAUGACAGCUGGGAACUUCUGGGAAAAGUUUGCUUACUCUUGAGAGGCGGAGAAAGGAAAGAUGCCCUCUGUCUGCACGUUGUGGCCGUGGGCUCUGGAACUGCUACCUUCUCUGCCCCGAGUGAAGCAACCACAGUGCAGAGGACAGCGCUGAGAGCCGGUGAGAUGAACUAAUGAUACUGGAUUAACCCCCAAACUCCCCUACCCAUAGUCUUCCAGUUAUGGGGGCAACUCACAGUCUAACUGUUUAAACCAGACUCAGUAGAGUUUUCAGUUACUGGCAUCCUACAGCAUCCCCUCUGAUGACCCCCUAAAUGGAACUCCAAAUCCCUCUUAGAUGACUCCCUACCCCAUUCACAGCCCAUGUACUUGGGGGACCCUCCCCCAGCUCCAGGAGUGGUGCCUGUGACCUUGGCUAAGCCAGUUGGUAUAUUUGUGC